rnacentral:lncRNA from 1 species
CAGGACUUGCUCACUUGCAGGAGUAACUUCUGCACAGGACAGUGACCCGCUGCAGUUGCCUCUCCCCAUGGAAGCUAUCACCAAUCUCGGAUUAAUUCUGCAGCAUGACCAAACUGCUGCAAGGCUCCACACUGGUCUCCAACUGGGAAAACUCCUCAAGCCAUUCUGUUCCCAAGGAAAGUGCACAGGAGAGGAGCUGCCCAGUAUCUGCCUGAAGUAAAUAUCUGGCUCAACAUCAAACCAUUUGAAUCAAUGGGCAUUUUCCCCUUUUGGGGGAUGACCAACUGACCAGAACCUGGG